AGAUGUGAGGUGGUUGGCUGCGACAUCUGUCACCCCAUUGAUUGCCAGGUUUGAUCCAGCUGAUGUGGCUGGCUAGGUAGUGUCCCCUUCCUCCCUCACCGCUCCAUCCCUCCCGCGCUUGGUGGUGGAGGACCGCCUUGCCCGAAUAGAGAUGGACAGGUCUUUGUGGUGGAGGGUAUACGAGUAGCUUGCGCUCCCCGGCUAGAACCUCCAAACAAGCUCUCAAGACAUUUAUAUUCCCAAUGUUAAAAGUCAAGCACUAUCAGCAUCUUAGUGUUUUUUUUUUCUUUUCUA
ensembl:misc_RNA 7SK 7SK RNA